CCGCUCCUGCCGAUCAGCCAACCAGGACACUCCAUCAAUCAGCGCACCUCCUCCCUCGCACACUACUUAAACCCUCCAGAAGCCCCAGUUCUUUGCCUGGUAUGGGUUGUUUGUCUGUUCACCUACCUUACCUUAGAUUCUGCUUGCUCUUUGUUACUAAUCACGGAACUCACCUUCGACUGUGACUUCAGCCUUGCCCUGUUCAGGAUUGGAAACCUUCUCUCCUGCCUCUUUCUACGAACCUUGGAACUCGACUCGGACUUCACCUCUCAUCUAGCCCCCUAAGUCGAUUAGUAUGCUGCUGUUACGGAGCUGUUCAUUCCUUCACUCAUGAGAGGGAUAAACUUGACAUCCCUGAUGAACCUGAUCAGACUCCUCAGCAAGAACCAGAGAGCCUGAUGGAUUAACAGAGACGUGGUUCCCGAGUCACUGUCGAGCGCCCUGGGUUUCAGCAGAGAGCAAAACAAACAGUCAGGAAACGAGCGCAGUUCUGAAGCUCGUCGGGCUCUGGGGACCUGGACACUCCACUGCUGUGACUGCAGUGCUUGUGGUGCCCUGUCAGUCCUCAUCCAGCUGGAGUCCAUAACUGCUGGGAAGAGCAUCCCAGGGAAUGGGACACUUUAGGAGGCUGCACUUGCCCCGACGGAGCUGCGUCUGUCUGAGCACCCCUCUCCAGCCUCUCCGGUCUUGAGCAGGAGUGGUCGAGGAAUGCGAGCUGGAUCGGUUCACAGAGACGGAUACUAGACUCAGACCUGCUUCACCAGAUACAGUAAGGGUGUCACCAUGCUGGGAGCGACUUGCAUCCUGAUUGUUAAUCAUGCGUUAUGAAGAUAGACUUUCCAAGGUAACUUGUUUGGAGCACAACAGAAAAACACAUGGAGAAUUUCUCUAGUGCUCAAUUACCACCCCACCCACAGAAACAUGUGCAGAGCAGCUUUGAACACCUACAGUAUAGCAAGAUCCAUCGACAGCUCCCAUUUUAAAACUCCACCUCUAGUUUAACGUAGGAGACAAGAAGCUUAAGGAAUACUAGGUCCCGAGUAAGGUUUGUCCAUCAGGGAAGUGAUUGCACAUUAAUUUUCAUUGUGACUCACCACCUGCACAAGAAUGAAUCUCUGCACAGAGA